rnacentral:rRNA from 1 species
GACGAACGCUGGCGGCGUGCUUAACACAUGCAAGUCGAACGGACAGGCCCUGCGUUUGUGGGGUGCUCGAGUGGCGAAGGGGUGAGUAAAACAUGUGUAACCUGUACUUGACUUUGGGAUAACUUCAGGAAACUGGGGCUAAUAUCCCAUAGGAGAUCUUGCUGCACGGGGGGGGUUGGAAAGUUUCGGCGGUUGGGGAUGGACUAGCGGCUUACCAGCUUGUUGGUGGGGUAGUUGCUUACCAAGCCUAUGAAGGGUAGCCGGCCUUAGAGCGUGACCGGCCACAUUGGGACUGAGGUACGCACCAGACUGCUACGGGAGGCAGCAGUGGAGAACAUGACGCAGCGGGCGGGAGCCUGAUGCAGCAACGCCGCGUGCGUGAUGACCGCUUACUGGUUGUAAACCGCUUUCGCCUUUGACGUAGCGGGAGUGACGGUAAUGGGUAAAAAAGCACCGGCUAACUACGUG